GUGCAUGUGACCGCUGAUCCUUCCUGGCCAGUGAGAGCAGACACUUGGGUUGUCGCAAAGUCUGUGUUUGCAAGUGACCAAGAUGAAUCAGGUCCUCUUUCGAAAUAAUAUCAGGCAGGAGAAGGAGAAAAAUGCGUCUAGUUUUAAUUCGCUGACAGAAGAAAGAAAACAACAUCGACUCUCCAACACAGCUGCCAAGAAGGGCCCAGCUGCUUACCGAGAGGGGACGCACACCUCUGAGGGGCCCAGGGCCAGAGGACUUCACCUCUGGGCAACCAGGAGGAAGAAAAUGAAAUUGACAGCCUGGAAGGACCAGGCAGAGGGAUGGAGCCCUGACAUUGUCUGAGAAAUGGCUUCUUCUGAGGCUGCCUAAAAUUGAUGAUAUGUGACUGGUGAUAUCAGACCCCUUUGGGGAGGUGUCAGAAAUACCCAGGCUUUUGCACGGGUGGAGGAGGGAUUUUUUUAACAACAGCCACCAGAAAAAUAUGAUGCAGAGGGAAAGGGUUUCAAAACACUUCCGUUUUUCAACUGGGCCAGUUUAAGGAGCCCAAGCUAACAUGCGAUCUUUGUCAACUUUCAAAUCCGCCUCCUUUUAAGGUGAUCGUAGAGAGAGAUGGGAGGAGUUUUUACUGCAAGGAUUCUUGGACUCCACGGCUCAUGAGAAGCAAGUUGGCGACUGUGGAACCGACUGAGAGAGGCUCCAUCUCAAUCCAGCUUCCACAGUCACAGGAGAAAGAAAUGCAUUUCAGUGUUUCUUUCCAGAGGCGACACAUGUUACUGCUGCCCACAUUUCCUCGGCCAGUUCACAUCUUGAAGGAGGGUGAGCAGGGCAUUCUCCAUGUGCCCAGAAUCCCGACCAGGUAGGGUUCAGGACAGCGGCUCUGGUUUUAGUAGGGUCCUGAAUUGUGCAUGAGAGUUAACCAGGGAAGGUUAACGUAAUAGAAGGGUGAGGGAUUGGCAGCAGCAGGCGUGCGGGCCCUGAGGUAGGAAGAUUCACAGCCUGUCUGAGCAGCAGAAAAAGGCCAGAGAGCUGGAACCCAGCGAGUCAGGAGGAUGUAGCUCCCGUGCCAACAAGACACAUGGGGACUUAGACGCCAGUGGAAGACUGUCUGUACCCCAGAGGGAGGAGAGUGGCCAGGUGGUGCUCACUUUGGCUUUAAUAUCAAGGACAAGGAGGUGGCGAGGGGGGUUCAGGGAGUGAAUGCUGAUGUAUUAGAACACACCUGUGAGGUAGAGAAAACGCCCGUUGGGAUGAACGGCAACUGUGGGCCAGAGAGGUGAGUUGCUUGGCCUAAGGGCUGCAGCUAGUAGGCACUAGAACUAGGAUUCGAAGCCUCCCCCUCAGCUCAUGCCUGGGCCCCAUUGCCCACAGGGGCCUCCCCUGAUGCUGGAAGAGUCUUCAGCAUCUCACAUCCUUGUUCAGCACCAUUGGGCAGUACUCACAUUUGCAAGGCUCACUUAGAUUUCAUUGAAUGGUCAGAGCGCGCUCUUACAUUUGUACUCCCGAUUGCUAAGUUGCUCCUCUGUGUCACGCUACUGAGAAAACUUCCAAAAGAUGAUAUUUGUGUAUCAACAAGGAUGACAUGUUGGGGACAUCAAAGAGAAGUUUCAGAAAUGGCUGCUGGAAAAUGACGGGAAGCCUUUUCCACGCUGAGCCCCUGUCUCCCAAUUAGCCUACAAAAACAUUCUUAAAGGAAUAACCUUUACUAAUAAAAUGCUAUAAUCUCAAUAAGACAUUUCGGCAGGGGAAUUAUUAGAUAUUAAUUCAUGCCUAGUUGCACUGACAGCUCUUGGCCAUCAACGCUAGCCUAAUAGCACACUAGGUGAGAAUUAAUAUGCCAUAAUUCACGCUCUGUCAUGCAUUAUUGCUUCAA